rnacentral:rRNA from 1 species
CGGGCUUGAAAUGCUAUCGACCGACGGAGAGAUUCGUUAUCCAGCAAUGGCGAUAGUGUAGGUGCUGCAUGGUUGUCGUCAGCUCGUGCCGUGAGGUGUCGGCUUAAGUGCCAUAACGAGCGCAACCCUUGCCAAUAGUUACCAGCAUUCAGAUGGGGACUCUAUUGGGACUGCCACCGUAAGGUGAGAGGAAGGUGGGGAUGACGUCAAAUCAGCACGGCCCUUACGUCCGGGGCGACACACGUGUUACAAUGGGGAGUACAGAGGGUUGCUACACCGCGAGGUGAUGCUAAUCCCUUAAAACUUUUCUCAGUUCGGAUCGGAGUCUGCAACUCGACUCCGUGAAGCUGGAUUCGCUAGUAAUCGCGCAUCAGCCAUGGCGCGGUGAAUACGUUCCCGGGCC